UUUUGGCCAAGUGCAUCAUUGUGGACGUUCUGCCUCUUUUCCUAUGCUUUACAUGCAACUCCAGUCUACCUCCUGAAAUCGGUUUCCUGCAAUUCUGCCCCGCUUUCAAGUCCUCUUGGCAGCCUUGCUUCAAUCUAUUUUUGGACGAUAGCUGUCAUUUAUAACUCUGCAGGUUUGUGAAUUACAGUGCCCCUGAGCUCCUUUCUUCAACUCGCUUUCUUUUGAGCUGGCCGCAACACCGCAGGAUGGCUUCAGGCCCUAGUGUGGUUCCGG